UAUACUCUUUAUAUUGUGUUUCUUUUUUUGGUCAAACCUCCAUGCCCCGUUUCAUCUUUUUGUGCCCUUUCUUGAGACUCUAUUUCUUUUCUCCCAUGGCAGUUUUGAUUUUUUAGUUUCCUCCCUACAACAAACCCAACCACAGCCUAAUCUAAUCGACCACCCACCCAAGUCCUUGUCUCUUUGUCUACUCUUCGGCGCCCAUACCCUAAGAGAGUGUUUGGUUCGAGGAAAAAUUAUAUUACUGGUUGAAAUCACUACAAAAAUAUGUAAUUUUAAAGGUAUUUGUUUCUUGGGGGUUUGGGGAGCAGCCGGUGCUUUCCUAUAAUACUUUGUAUUUCUUUUGAGAAAAAUGAAACUGCCGCUAAACACAAAUGAUUUAGCACUAAUAGCCUCUAAUAAGAAAUAGAAACACUAUCCUUUCCCGAUGAUCUUUCUUCAAACAAAAAUUUUUCAGUCUCGCAUCUUUUGCGUGAUUUUCUUUUUUUCAUCUCUCUCUUUUUGUUCUUCUCCCGUAUUUAUUGAUUGAAAAAUUAGAAAAUCAUACCCUAACUUUUGAAAAUCAAAGUCAAAAUCAUCUCAAAUCAAUUUUUCUCCCAUAAGAUUUGAAGCUAUUUUCCCCAUUUUUUGAAAAUCAAACCCUAAUUUUUGAAAAUUACCAUUUUCACCAUCUUCUUCGUCAUCUCUACCACAAUUGAUUCAUCUUGUUAUUGCUAAAAUCAUUUCUUCAGUGAGAUAAUUUCACCAAAAUAAGUGAUGCAAAGCGACUAACAGCAUAAAUGAUGCUUCAUUUAUAAUUUUGGUUUUUAUGCAAGUCGAGUGCGUUAAUCACUAAGAAUGGUUGUUUAUAAUGUUUAGUCUACUGCUGUUUAUGCAAUUAUCAAGAUUAUUUGCCUCUGGACUGGAAGUAAACUGAAAGAUUUUCGUUGCAGAUCACAUAGCGUAUUCAAAUUUGUAUGGUCAUGAAUUGUUUUAUUUGAACGACAAUCUAGAUUAAAAGUCGGCAAUUUCUUUCAUUCUUGGGUUUCUCGUAUCCAACUGCUUCUUCAAUUUAAGGUGUCUAUUUUCUUUUCCAUUUUCUUUUUCUUUUUGUAAUUUCUAUGGUUUAAUUCUAUGAGCCAUUUUCAAUUAUGUUAUGAGAUUUUUUUUUUUGUUUGAGAAAUAGAUGGUAUUUUUUUUAUUCCUUUCUCUGCUAUUAAUAGAUUAAAAAAAUUAGAAAAUCAUACCCUAAUUUUUCCUGUUCCACUCCCCCAAUUGUCAUUUUCUUUGUCAUCUCCGUCACCGCCAUAUUGGAAAUUGAUUCUGAUAUCCAGUUUGUUAAAACCCAAAUUGUGUGUGAAUUGAAACUUUAAUGGUAUUCCUAGCAUUGUACCUUGAAUCAGUCAGUAUAUGCCUUGUUAGGCUGAGGAAAGACGUUAAAAAGCGUGUGCUAUUUGCGAUGUUUUAUAGUUUUCAUUAAUAGUCAUUGCUAAUUUAGUAAUAAUUAGGUUGCAGCAAUUGUUACCCAACCACCUUCUAGAAGAGAUAGGGGCAGAAAUGUGAUUCGUUCACUAGUGGCACAACAUGCUCUUGAUAAAGGCUUUCCUUUUGAGCUCAUCUUCACACCUGAACAUGCUGGAGAGCUGCUGCAAUGUUUAACUUGGGGUUGUUUGAAGGUGAGAUAAGUGGAGAUGCUUUCCAACUUCUUGAAAUGAGUGAGAUGGGAAUGUUCCUAGCCAUCUUUGCUUCAAGGAUCUAAAGAGGAUAGAAAGAGAUGGAAGAAUGACUGUUGAGAACAAUUUGAAUGGAAAAAGGCUACUAGAACAAAAUGAUUUGCUUUUUGAAGAUGACUGGAAGAGGAAGAUUAUCAGCCAAGUGUAAUGCUAAAUAUUGAGUAUUCUUCUUUUAAAUCUGUAGUUGUCUAUAUUUACAAGUUAGCAUUUAUCUUAUUAAGGGUGUUCUUUGUUUUGCCUAUCUUGCUUUGUAAUUUGAUAGAGCCAAUAAGCAUUUUACUUUUUGAUAGCUGCCUUGCACUGUUUUGGAUCUUUAUGUAAUUUGCAUAUAUGAUUUGUUAUGUAUGAUUUUCAUAUUAUUAAUAAACUUUAAGUUUAAUUA